rnacentral:rRNA from 1 species
UACAGAGGGUGCGAGCGUUGUCCGGAAUCACUGGGCGUAAAGGGCGCGUAGGUGGUGGCUUAAGCGUGCGGUGAAAGCUCGGGGCUCAACCCCGAGUCGGCCGUGCGAACUGGGCUCACUGGAGCAUAGUAGAGGCAGGUGGAAUUCCGGGUGUAGCGGUGGAAUGCGUAGAGAUCCGGAAGAACACCGGUGGCGAAGGCGGUUCUCUGGGCCUUACCUGACGCUGAGGAGCGAAAGCGUGGGGAGCGAACAGG